rnacentral:rRNA from 1 species
AGCCAAACUCUAGCCCGACAACACCCGCCCCGCCCUUAUAAAAAACAAACUCCCCCUCACCUAACCAAAACAUUUCACAAACCUAGUAUAGGAGAUAGAAAAGAAACUCAGGCGCUAUAGAAAGCCCCGUACCGCAAGGGAAAGAUGAAAUAUCAAUGAAAUACCCAAGCAUUAAACAGCAAAGAUCAACCCUUGUACCUUUUGCAUCAUGGUUCAGCAAGAAACACCCAAGCAAAGAGACCUUAAGCUUGCCGCCCCGAAACCUGAGCGAGCUACUCACAAGCAGCUAACAUCUGAGCUAACCCGUCUCUGUGACAAAAGAGUGGGAUGACUUGUCAGUAGAGGUGAAAAGCCUAACGAGCCCGGUGAUAGCUGGUUGCCUGUGAAAUGAACCUCAGUUCGCCCCUGACCUCUCCUCACGCCCACCAACCCAGGCCCCAAUGUAGACGAACAGGAGUCAUUUAAAGGAGGUACAGCCCCUUUAAAAAAGAAUACAACCUCUCACAGCGGAUAACCUACCCCCAUAGACCUAGCUGUCGGCCUUCAAGCAGCCACCAACAAAGAGUGCGUCAAAGCUCCUCAAAAAAAAUUCCCAAACCACGUGAAUCCCUCCUCACUAACAGGCCAACCUAUUCCGAUAGGAGUAUUAAUGCUGAAAUAAGUAACUAGGGCACAUUCCCCUCUCAAGCGCAAACUUACAUCCCCCAUUAUUACCCAAAACACGAUAUCCACACCCUAACAAGCACACUCUAUCAACAACCUUGUUACCCCAACCCAGGAGCGCAACAAUAGAAAGACCCAAAUCUGUAGAAGGAACUAGGCAAACCCAAGGCCCGACUGUUUACCAAAAACAUAGCCUUCAGCACACCAAGUAUUGAAGGUGAUGCCUGCCCAGUGACCUCAUCACGUUCAACGGCCGCGGUAUCCUAACCGUGCAAAGGUAGCGCAAUCAAUUGUCCCAUAAAUUGAGACUUGUAUGAAUGGCUAAACGAGGUCUUAACUGUCUCCUACAGACAGUCAGUGAAAUUGAUCUCCCUGUGCAAAAGCAGGGAUAAUAACAUAAGACGAGAAGACCCUGUGGAACUUAAAAAUCGCAGUCACCGCACACCCUUACCUAAGUCUACCAGACCCUCUAACUCGCACAACUGGCCCGCAUUUUUCGGCUGGGGCGGCCCUGGAGCACAACAGAACCUCCAGACAUAAGACCUAACUCUUAACCUAGAACAACCCCUCAACGUGCUAACAGCAACCAGACCCAGUACAACUGACUAAUGAACCAAGCUACCCCAGGGAUAACAGCGCAAUCCCCUCCAAGAGCCCAUAUCGACAAGGGGGUUUACGACCUCGAUGUUGGAUCAGGACAUCCUAAUGGUGCAGCCGCUAUUAAGGGUUCGUUUGUUCAACGAUUAAUAGUCCUACGUGAUCUGAGUUCAGACCGGAGCAAUCCAGGUCGGUUUCUAUCUAUGACAGAUUUCUCCCAGUACGAAAGGACCGGAAAAAUAAGGCCUCUGCCCCAAGCACGCCUUCCCCCCAAGCAAGGAAUCCAACUAAACUGCCCAAGGGACUAAACACCUCAACCCUAAAAAAGGAAA